rnacentral:lncRNA from 1 species
GCAGAUCCAUCUCAUCUCUCUCCCCAACCAAAUAGACCACUAGUACUCUCGGUGUUGCUUCGCUUCUAGAAGAUAGACCGGGACUCCCGCCAUCAUGUGUGGAUUCUACGACUAACUUGAACUCGGCGCGAUAAUCAUCAGAGGGAGUGGGAUUGCUCGUCGUGAUCGCUGUGGCACCAUGGAGUCGCCUUCGACGUCGUCAGGGGCCUUCGCGUCAUCACCGCUAGUGAGAACCUUUCCUUGUAGAUCCACUUUUGUUUCCGCGUCAUGUAUAACUAGUCAGAUUGGGAACUAGAGCAUGGGGGCACCGGUAGGGUGCUCGUCGAUGAGAAUACCGCCGCGAAGCCCCUAUGUAGUGUGGGUAUCGUUCCUGGCCUUGUGAUUUAUGGUUAUGGUAGCGUUUGAUAGAUUCGCCUUGAUCUGCUCUAUGCAUAGAUCUCUUCCACUCUCAAAUCCAUAGACUAGAUGGCUGGUUCGUCUGCUCGUCGGAGUCACCACCGCAGAGGAGGCCACCUCCGUCCUGAUGUUGUUAGGAGGUAGGAGAUGAAGGGUGGUCAUUGAUUGGCCAAUGAAGGGUCUAAAUUAGAACAUAAAUAUCCUUUCGUCGAUCUAACAUUCGAGCCAUAGAUCAGAGUUCAAUGGAUGUGAUUAGAUCGCGAGGAUACCGUUUCAUUCAGGCAAUCUAAGCGAUAGAAUGGAUAUCAGGUGGCCGAGGUGAGAGCACGUGAAGUCGGAUGUGGAAGUUUUCUAAAGAGACCCUGCCUUCGUUUUAAACCAACCCGCAUCCUAGUCAUAUAUAAAGAACAUUGCAGACCGGUCCAAUAAUUUAUAAAAUAAUCCCCAAGCUCUUGAACAUUCUAAGCCGCCGACUAGCCUCCCCAUUCUUACACCAAGGACCCUAACAUUUUAGUAAUAUUUAUGUUUUAGCCCUCAAACCUUCGCAGAUGGGUCCCUAGAGCUAUAGUUUUAAUAUAAAAUAUGCCUAAACUUGUAUAAUUCAUAUUUUUCGCUUUUAACUCCGAUUUUAGUGGUUCUCGAACCUACGGAUUCGUCAAUAUCAUGAUGUUUGUUUUUCUGUUUGAUGUAAUGUUAUUUUUAUUUUUAUUUUGUUUGUUUGUGUUGCUGUGAAUAGACGAGCAUGUGAAUUGGGAAUUUGAAGCCUAGUAGUUUGAGGGAUCUGAGUAGGAGCUCCUAGUGGUAGGCAAGUGUGUCCUUGAUCAUGUAUUUUUGUGAUCCAAUAAUAUUUACUAUUAUGUUCACACCCAUGCAUGCUCAAUUAGAUUAAAUUGAUGAAAACUUAAUAGGUUACCUAGUUUUGUUUAUCAUAUACCUGGUUUUACCUGAUUACAAGUUAUUGGGUUAAUGAUACAUAUGAAAUAUUGAUCAUGAUUUAUUAUGGUGCAUUUAUUAUUCAUAAUAAGAUCAUUUUGUUUAAUUGGAACAUGGAGAGACCACCCGAGAAAAUAGUGCUGCCACAAGACUAUUAUGACUCUAGUCUUGGCAAAUUAAUUAAGGAAGCUAGUGUGUGAGAACCUUACCCGGUUAGUGACAAGCGGGGAAGUGUUGCUGAAGCAUGGUGACAUGACUGAUUAUGUUGUAAUGGCUUUUCAGACUAGCGAAUGAUCUAUGCCAACUCAUCUUGAAUCUGUAGCAGGUUUUCUCAUACUAGUGGAUAUUUGUAAAGGCCUCAUAGUGGAUCCCUAGCCAUUCACCUCGGUACUGUUUACGGGCCUUGCAAACAUGGGCUAUAAGGGAUACACGACUUGUGAAUAAAGAUGUGCGACCUCUGCAGAGUGUAAAACUGAUAUAUUAGUCUGCUUAUAGUCACAAGUGGCUCGGACCGUCACAUGAUUAAUAUAUGAAAGUAAAUUUAACUUAACAUGAGUGUGGUUGGUUUAUGGGUAACAGUUUGGUUAUGAUCAUUUAUCUAAUUGGAUUUAUAUUUACUUAUACCUUGUAAUUGCUAAUAAAAGUUUGACCAACUUAAUUAAAAGCUAAUGAUUAGCCUCUGAAUUUUUCUUGGUAAACCUUACACUACACUUAUUACUGCACACUUGUUGAUCCCCAACCGUAAGUGAGCUCACCUUGCUAUAAUUACUGCUCAGAUCAGGAACAGAUAUCGCUAGAGGAGGAUUACUAUGAUGAGUUCGACAAGUUCUAUGCCAUUGUUUCCUAGUCAACCACACUUGUGGAGAAGUUAUCUUAGCUCGGUUUAUUUUAUUUAGUUAUUUUUGUAAAGACAUUUGUUACGAAAUAAAGUAUGUGACACUAGUUACUAU